rnacentral:lncRNA from 1 species
AGUUUUAAAUCAACAUCAAUUUCUGUUAAAAUAACUGGAACACUUGUACAAGUAAUGGCAGGGCAAAAUAUGAAUAUUGCAAUAUUAAAACUAAUCAUAAUGAAAAUGCAGUGGUCGUUUGAUGACCAUUCCCUGCUCAUAAUAUCUCCUUGGUCAUUGUUUUUUUUAUCCUUUUUUUAUCCUUUUAACAGGACGUUCCUCCAUAACAUGGAUUUUGAAGGAUCUACUAUUCUGUUAGACUCCUUCUGCAAGAGCUUCCAGCGUGCUCGGGCAGAGCGAUUGACCCGACUGUCCCUGUCCCUGAAUCGCGACAGCACUCCUGUCUUCAUCAUUCCCUUCCCGCCAUCCGCCCCUGUCGACGAUGACCCCUACGCUCCCCCUCGCUACAGCGUCACAGAGUACACUGCCCCUCCCCCGCCUUAUGAUGAGGUGGAAAUGAAGCCAGAGCUUUUCCCUUACCCUGAUGCCUUUCCUCCACCCUAUGUGCCUUAUGAGUCUACCAGCGCUUCUGAGUCUAACAACACCUCACAUUAGAGGUCACUUCUGCACCGUGUGGACGAACAUGGAACUCUCUGGACAGAAUAUUCUGGCCCUGUGGCUUAGACACUUUAAAGUGCACACCAACAAGAAGAAUUGCGAGCUGGAUAUUAGGAGACGGAUAUUUAUUGGACGUGUGAAGAAGCACUUUUUGAUUUCCACUGAACUAUAUAUACAUAUAUAUGUGAUGCAUGUGGCUGUUUCU